ensembl:lncRNA
UUCUGCAGUUUUUGAAGAAAGGACAAAAAGUUAUUGAGGUGAGACAGGAAGAAUGGGGCUGGCUCAUAGUCUGCUCUCAAACCUUCAUUACUUGCUCCUUCACUGCAGAUACGAACUGACAGUAUCCCUCCUUUCUACACGCCCUUUCCGCUGACCUUUCCUGUCUGCUUUUCUCGGGUGCAGGCAGGAGUGAUGAAGCCUCUCAGUGCUUAGGCCAGUAUGACUAAGAC